UACGUAGGGGGCAAGCGUUGUCCGGAAUCACUGGGCUUAAAGCGUGUGUAGGCGGAUCGUUAAGUGUCUUGUGAAAUCCCACGGCUCACCCGUGGAACUGCUGGGCAUACUGGCGAUCUUGGGCCAACUAGGGGCAACUGGAACAAGCGGUGGAGCGGUGAAAUGCGUAGAUAUCUGGAGGAACACCGGUGGCGAAGGCGGCAUCCUGGACCGGUAUUGACGCUGAGGCGCGAAAGCCAGGGGGAGCAAACGGG
rnacentral:rRNA from 1 species